GAACGGAAAUUGACCGUUCCUUUCAUCCCUACUCCAGACUAUUUCCAAGGUGCACACCCAGCAGAAUUUGAUUUCCAGCACCCUGAAGCCUGGCCACUUUGGAUAAGCAGAUUCCAAAGGUCCUCCCGGACAUCUAGCCUGGAUCAGCAGUUGCAGAAACAAGUAAACACUCUUUUUGUAGUAUAUUAUGGGCCCAGCAGAAGAGAAUACGUAUAAUCCUUUCAAGGAGUCUCACAGAAGAAGCCCAGGUGAAAUAGUUUGAAACCAUCAAAGACAACCUAGUUAAGCACUUCCUGCCUCCUCCUUGCAAUGUUUGAGCAAGCCCAAUUCCACUCCCACCAGCAAGGGCAAGAAGUAUCUUACAUCAUCACAGCCCUGUAAGCUCUGAUCCAACACUGGAUAUUAUGGGAAAAUGAGUGAGGAACUAGGGGGGUGCAGAGACUGGUACAAAGGCUCAGAGACGGUCACCUGUCUUGAGAUGUUGCAAAAUGACCCUGAUCUCCCCGUUGGAGACAGCCAAGUCACAGGAAAUCUGCAAAUGGCUGUGAAUGCAGAGAACUGAAUUUUAGAUUGGAAAACAUGAGAAACAGAGAGAACAGAAAUGGACAGAUCCUUCUGCCUCUACGUACCAGGGCAAACGUGCAUUCCAGUACACCCUCAGCUUAAAAAAUGAAAGAGCAUUCAAAGAGGCACGUCCCCACCCGCCUUUGGAGUCUGUCGUCUCAUUUUGCUGCAUACGUCGACUCAAUGUGACAACCUUGCUGUGAGGAAUUGCAGUAGACAAGCCCAUUUGCGGAAAUGCGCCUCAUCAUGGAACAGAAAGAAAGAAAGAAAGCUGCUUGUUUCAUGGCUUCUUUAACAGCCUUCUCCUCCUCCACCCGGCUGUCAAGUUGGCAAAGUGCUUUGAACUCAGUGUUGUUUGAAAAGUGGUGGCUGUGGUGGUGGUGACCUUGUGGGCACCCCUCAUCCUGCCCCUCCUCUUCUAGCCACGUCCCCUUUGAGCGGACCGACCCGCUGGCUGCACCGGGCCCUCAGAACAGCCUUUCCUGAGGCCGGUGCCCUCCAGAUGUCAUGGAGCACAAGUCACAUCAGCCCCAGCCUGCACAGCUGACUGACGCUCAGGCUGAUGGGAGUGGGAGCCCAAGAACCAGGUUGGGGAAGGCUGCCUUUGGAAGUGAAAAAGCUGCCUGCUCGCCAUCUUCCUAUGUGGGCCACGGUUAAAACCCCUAGAAGAGCUAUUCAUGCAAACGCAUAGCAGGGUGGCCUCCUUUUGAGGGUGGAUAAUUCUGCUGGUUCUCUGCAAUCAGGAAUGAUUGAAUGAUCCAACCACCCUUUAUCCCGAGGCACAGAAGAGAAGCAGCAAGAAGUACCUCUGAGCAUGCAUAAAGCACUUCAUGCCACUCACGACUACAGAGAAGGAACUUCUUAAAAAUAUGAAAACAGGGCAGGAGCUUCCGACUGUUUUGAUGCUGCAGCCUCUUUUAGGGGCUGGGUUGUUCUGCCAUCUCAUCUGCUUUUAAAAAAAACUUUUU